CCUAGGAUCAUGACCUGAGACGAAGGCAGAGGUUUAGCCGACUGAGCCGCCCGGGCGCCCUUUCCUUUUAUUUCCUUCCUGUCUCCCCCCCCCUCCCCCCACCACCUCCUUCCUUCCCUUCCGCUUGCUUGCUUGCUUUCUACGAUUAGGAGAUUGAUACAAAUUAGAACAAGGCUUUCUUUCACUGGAAAAUUAAGGGAGAAUUGUAAAGAAUGCAGAAGAUCUUGUCAAUUAGACUUGUUAUUACGAAUAUCAAGAAUGUUUUUAAUGAUAACAUGCAAUUUCAAAUAUAAGAAUAAUUUUAAAACCUCGCUGUUCUCGUUAAUGAGGGAGAUAUGAAUAAAAGGAUAUGAAGGACUGUGGCUUUUUCAAUCUGUUAUUCAACAGAUUGUUAAUACAUGGUGAGACUUGGUAGCCGUCACUUUAACUGAGGGACCGAACUCAGUCGCAUUAGUAGCGGCUCGACCUGACUUUUCAGCCUCCCCGUGUGCUGUCCUAGGAAAGAUAUGACACCACCUAUGAGAUAAUCUUUCUAAAGAAAUGUUUACUAUGGUGAGCUCUGUGAAAUGUGUAAGGCUGAUGAUUCACCUGUACCCCUGGGGCUAAUAAUAUGUUAUAUGUUAAUAAAAAUAAUUAAAAGAAUAUUUAACCCUAAUCAACUCAAGCCUCUAGGCCAACUUCCAGUUUACAGGAAACAGGGGUUAAAGUAACUAGUUAAAUGACAACAGGAAGAAGCAAUCAGACAAAUCUAGAGUGAGAGAUAUUGUAUGAACAGCUGUCCUGUGAUCUGCCAACAGACAUGUCAUCAGAAAACAAAAAAUAAUGUCAGUAAAACGAAACUCCUGGGACUCUACUUGAUGGUUUGAUUUGACUCAUUGUACAUCCUUGUUGAGAACAUCUGUGUGAAAUACUGAAAUUGAACUUAUUACAACCAAGAAGUGCAGCUGUAAAAGAACAGACCCAUGAAGGUAAUAAUGUAUGAGUGUUAUUCAAGGUGAGCUAUGAUAUGAAUUCGUCUCUUCCUAAGAAAGGCCUUUAUAUACCUAUUGUCAUUCCAGCAUCACAAAGUAUCUCCUGAAAAAGUAUACUUAAUUUAUUCAGCCAAUGUUUAUUGACAUGCUGCUACAUGUUAAGGGUUAUGUUGGCCUCGAGGAUCCAUCGGUGAAUGAAAAGUGGCCAGUGAAGGACUACAGGCUACAGACUUCCAUAGGCACUAGGACAGGAGCAGCCUCCUUCAUGCUAAAGUGCAGAGCUCUCUCAAGAUUUUGCUUGCAUACUCCCUCAAAAAUUACGUAUACCUUUAUUUCUUGAACAACGAAAUAAUGUUCAGUUUUUGGUUAAAUGGCGGCAAAAGAUGUCAUUAUGUUAUACAAUUACCAUUUUAAAAUAAAAUUGUUUCAUCACCUUUUAAAAAAUA